rnacentral:rRNA from 1 species
AGUGAACGCUGGCGGUAGGCCUAACACAUGCAAGUCGAACGGCAGCACAGUAAGAGCUUGCUCUUACGGGUGGCGAGUGGCGGACGGGUGAGGAAUACAUCGGAAUCUACUUUUUCGUGGGGGAUAACGUAGGGAAACUUACGCUAAUACCGCAUACGACCUACGGGUGAAAGCAGGGGAUCUUCGGACCUUGCGCGAUUGAAUGAGCCGAUGUCGGAUUAGCUAGUUGGCGGGGUAAAGGCCCACCAAGGCGACGAUCCGUAGCUGGUCUGAGAGGAUGAUCAGCCACACUGGAAGUGAGACACGGUCCAGACUCCUACGGGAGGCAGCAGUGGGGAAUAUUGGACAAUGGGCGCAAGCCUGAUCCAGCCAUACCGCGUGGGUGAAGAAGGCCUUCGGGUUGUAAAGCCCUUUUGUUGGGAAAGAAAAGCAGCAGGUUAAUACCCCGCUGUUCUGACGGUACCCAAAGAAUAAGCACCGGCUAACUUCGU